GGCAUGGUGGCUUUGUGGUUAGCACGUUUGCCUCAAGUCUCAGGGGUUGGGGGUCCGAAUCCCACCUUUGCCU